rnacentral:siRNA from 1 species
GUAAUCCGCGUCGGUCCACGCCC